rnacentral:rRNA from 1 species
UACAGAGACUGCAAGCGUUAUUCGGAUUCACUGGGCGUAAAGGGUGCGCAGGCGGCCAAGUGUGUCAGGUGUGAAAUCCCGGGGCUUAACUCCGGAACUGCGCCUGAAACUACUUGGCUAGAGCAUUGGAGAGGGAAGUGGAAUUCACGGUGUAGCAGUGAAAUGCGUAGAUAUCGUGAGGAACACCAGAGGCGAAGGCGACUUCCUGGACAAUUGCUGACGCUCAGGCACGAAAGCGUGGGGAGCAAACGGG